GAGAGAAAAGAGUCCAGAAUUGUUUUACUCAAGUUUUUACCUGAGAUGACUUGGAAACUUGGUGGAUACCUGAAGCCCAUUCUGGAGGCAUCAUUUUGGUUCUGAGGGCUGCACUCAGAGCCUGCCCAGUGAACACCUCCUGCCAAGGACAGGCAGGACAAAGUUCUCCAGUUCACCUGGAUGGAGCUCAGGGCCCUGGAGCAGCCACUGCACAGACAGGACACUGCAGCACCUGGCCACAAAGAAAGCUUCCUGACCAGCACACCAGGAAUGAAAUGAGGCAAUUUAACUGAAAGAGCACACUUUGAAGGAGACAGUAAAAGCUGCCACAUACAAGAUUUAAAAGACCUGAGGAAGAAGAGGAACUACUUUGACACCAGGCUCGAGAAGAUGGAUUCUGUCCAGGAAAUCACACUCCAUCAGCUUCUGGCAAGCAAGCAGGGAUGGACAAAGACCCUACUUUUUUUUUGGAGGGGGAGGAUGUAAAAGAACAUCGAGGAGAAAGGACAAAGAGGGACCACAACAAUGCAAGCAUCUGGUGAAAGAGCAGAGCAGUGGCAUCUUCCAGGUUCCUCAACCAAAAAAUACAUCCUUUGUGUGACUAACCAGAGGCCAAACCUGUGGAGAUCCAGCAAGCUGCACAAAGAAAUUCUUCUGCAACAUGCUUCACCAUGCAGCUGAAAUAGUCUUUAGAUUGUUGAAUAAAACAACCAAAAUGUCAGUCCACUGUGGGAUGGAUACUCCUUACAUGAAGAACCAUUUGAGCUCUGUGGCAACCUGUGAAGUGUGACUGUAUCAGAGAGGAUUCUCUGCAGAAGGUAGAGCUGGUUAAAUUAAUGAAAGAUAUUCCAGGAUGGAGACCUGCAGAAGGCCAGCAGGCAGCAGAUCUUGUUCCAGGGACAAACUCCACUUUACCACCCCCAGCUCAGCAUGUGUUCCCUGACUGGGGCAGAUACACAAGUGGCAGAAAUCUCACCUGCAGAAGAUCUGGCACUGCCCCUGGAACACAAAGGGGUCUGACAGUGAAGAUCACUGCAGGAGCUGAUUUCUCACCAUUCCCCUUUACACCCCUUGAGCCAGCAGGGAAACACAAAUGGCUCUUGAUAGGCAAAACUGCUGCCAGAAGUGUUCUUUGGAGGAGUCAGAAAUGCACACGUAUGCCUUAUUAGCCACUCACACAAGGACAAAGCAGACAAACUCAAUUUCAUUUGGUUUUUAUUUGAAGCCUUAGAUUUCAAGCACUUUUUUCAUGUCAGUCCAACUGACCUUGACACUUCUGUAUUUGUGAGGGAGUUUAGGUGGAGUCCAAAGAUAAAAUUUUCUCUUUUGUUUCUUGCUUCCUGUUCCUGAUACUUCAAACUGGUGAAUACAGAGUAUUUUUGUGAUAAUCUUACCAAACAAAUUGUAUGACAGAUUUUAGAUAGUAGAUAAAUGUGUAUAUCACCAUCUGAAUCUAUUUUACAGCUGCAAGUCAUACAUAUUCUUUGGGCUUUAACCCACAGUAUUUUACUUUAAACAAUAUUAGUUGUAUGGCAGAUAAAUAAACACAGGAAGAGAAAAUUUAUCUACAUUUUCAAUGAAAGGUUCAUGAAGUCCCUGAUAUUAGGCCAUUAAAAUAACAGAACUACAAAUGAGGACAUACUCAAGUAAGCAAUGAAAAGCAUAAACAGAAGAGAAAAAAACCCUUCAAAUUAUCUUUCCACAGCACAGAAAUGAUACUGGGCUCAACCCCUGUGUUCUCCUGGGUAAGCCACUCCCAUGGGGUUCAAGAGCACUCUGCUGGCAUUUGAGGAUCUGGAGGUGAGGAGGAAUACAACAGCACACCUUUACUUUCAACCAAGCAACACAGAAAGCUCCCAGCUGAAAAAUUAAACAGGGAGCUCCAGGAAAAGAGCUGGCAAAACAGAACUGCCCAAGACCUGAUGUCCCAAAAGCACAGGAGCACAGCCAAGCACUGAAAUGCCCACAAGGAGCUGUGACCUCUGAGUUCUGCUGUGAUGGAUCAGCCUUCCAGACACAAGAUCUGGACUACAGGAUGGGCAGCACUGUGCUCACGUUGCACAGACAGGGUGAACACAACUCCAGCUGAUAGCAAUGGAAACUGAAAGUGCUCCUCUGGCUAAGUCAGUCCUCUAAUUGAUUACUGAUGGCAUCUUCUCAUCUAAAAACUCAACAUGUCUAGAAAAGACCAAUGAGAAAGACAAAACUGAUUUUAGUGAAGUCCUACAAGCUAGACAAACAACACAGCACAAAAUCUCUUCCCCAGGAGGGCUGUCCCAGCAGGGCUCAGCCACCCAGGGCAGUGGGAGAGUCCCCAUCCCUGCAGGGAUUUAAAAGCUGUGUGGAUGUGACACUUGGGGACAUGGUUGAGAGGUGGCCUUGGCACUGCUGGGUUAAGGGCUGGACUGGAUGAUCACAGGAAUCUUUUCCAACCUAAUGGUUCUGUGGUUCCACAGCAGCAGAGCAGAGCAGGCUGUGCCUUUUCAUGCACAAGCACACAGUUCAGGGCAAAGGAGGUGACAUUACACAGGGAUUAAGAAGAGUUUACCACAGCCACACCCUCUCUGUAAUCUACUGCACAGGCAGGGUAAAAGGGAUCAGUUUUGGGUGGAGUUAUUACAAAAAUUAUGUGCUGAAGAGGUUUUUUUUGAAGGAAGCAUUUAUUUCAAUUAAUAAAAGACACAAAGAGUAAUAAUUAAUUUACUGUCUCAGAAUAGUAGGGCAGAGGAGGGAUUUGACUAUUUAAGCAGUACUGCUUCUACAAAGAAGAAAAUCCAGUUCAGAGAAGUGACAGGCAUCCUCUCUGAAAUCUUCUCAAGAAAUGAACUACCCCAUGAAAUCACAGGUCAGUAAAUGAAUGACACCUUCACAGACAUGACCACAAUUUGUCAAAUCAGUAUUUUUACCAAAUUUUGUACCUGGCACAGGGAUGUUUCUCAUUGUACAAGAGCAGAACCUGGCCCAGCUGAUUUGACUGAGCAUCUGUUAUCACAGAUAUUUGGAAGACGUGACCAGAUUCUGACCAUAUGUCACACCACAGACAAGCACUUUUCUUUUUAAAAGAAAUUCACAGUCUUGAGAUUGUAGCUUCUACUGGUCCCUGACAGGCAGGCACUGAUGAUGACAGCACCUUGCUCUGCCACUGGGUUGCAACUCAAAACCAUCAGGUGGAGGAAGAUGGACUUGAUAUUUAUUAUUUAUAUUAUAACUAACAGUAAAAUUUUACUAAUAUAUAUAUUAGUAUAAUAAAAUAAUAUACAUUAUUAGAAUAUAUUAUAUAUUAUAUAAUAUAUUAUACAUAUUAUAUUAUAUAUAUCAUAUAGUAUUAUAUACUAAAUAUUACAUUAUAUAAUAUACAUUAUAUUAGUAAAUAAAUAAAUGAAAUAGUAUAAUUAUAAUAUUAUAACUGAUUAGUAUAUAAAUUAAGGAACUACCUGCAGCCAAAAUGUGAUUCUCUACAUGCAAGAAAUCUCCUGGAAAAGCACUGUGAUGUCAACAGAAAUACUGGCUGCAUGAAGGUAGCCAAAUUAUUACUAAAUAUGCUUCCUGACAGCAUGGUUGAAAAAGGAAGAAAUUCCAGGCACAGCUCAUCUCCUUGAAAAGGAGUCAGCAGCUGCCAAGGGCUCUGCCUGCCUUGCCCUGUUCAAGGUUUUUCAUCACUUCUGAGUGCCAUGGGCAGGAUCUUGCUGCCAAGUUCAGUGCCCAGAGAGCAGUAAAAACCUGGAGGAAGGGGCUGCUGGUCUUUGGGAUGUAUUUACACCUAUUUACAGAAGGGAUUUUUGGUCCACAGGCUCUCUGGGAAACAUCUAUUGAAGCAAGGUCAUAGGUUUAGCACUAGUGUGCCUCAGGGGGUGAUACAGGGCACACAUGACAUGUAAAUCCUCAGGACUAGAGCUCUAAACUACAAUGGUCAGCUGGAAUUGUUUUCCCUUGAUGUUUUUACUGUAGGAAAAAAAGAAACAUUGCAUGAACAGGAGCCUGAACUCAAAAAGACCUUUUUCUCUGGCUAUAGGGGAUCCCUUCAAAGAUGAGCAGACUGAUCCAACUCUGAAAUUUCCUCUCACCAGCCACUGUGAUUUCCUAUUUUCAUGAGUAAGGCAGUUCCCACAAAGAUGAGAGUGUUUUUCAGAGCAAUGCUAUUAACAGACAUCCUUCUGCUUGGCUUUUGUUUGUGUGGGUGCUUUUAUUUAUUUUGCUAUCCUUAACAGUGAAAAAGCUAAUUUGAAAGCAUUAGGGUUUGCUGUCUUCAUAGCACAAAACUGACAGAUGUUUCAUGUGUUUGAAAUAAACCCCAGUGAUAUUCCUGGGCUGCCUUCAAUGAGUUUUGGCUUUUAUUUUUCAUAGCAGGGGAAACUACAGGGUUGAGGUGCAGGUUUGGAGGAUUCUGCAGAGUUGUGUAUUUUGUGCAGUCUCUACAAAGUUUACCUGAUGUGCUGGUGUUCACAGGGGUCCCAGGAUGAGGGAAGAGAUGAGAAUCUCCACUCCAUGUGUCAGAAGGCUGAUUUAAUAUUUUAUGAUAUAUAUUAUAUUAAAAGAAAAUGAUUUAUUAAAACUAUACUAAAGAA